AUGCUCUUCCCCUCGGGGCUUCGGAGCCGGAGCAUUUGUCGACAGUUCCUGCCUCUUUACCCGGCUGCCGGCGCGAGGGUCCCGCCACCUCCAGGAGCCGCCCCCACCCCGCGCCCCGCAGCCCGCGCCGCCCCGUGCGGCCCGCGGUCCUCCUCACCUAUCAGAUUUCCUGUGCGCACCGCCGCGCGCUCCUCCCACCUCUUAAACGCGGAGCGGAGCGGGGCGGAAAGCCAUCCUCGGCCUGGACCCAGCGCCUCCGGGGACCUGCUGCCCGCCCCCUGCGUCGGCGGGCCGGGAUGCGGCUCUGAGCCCGCGGCGGCUUCCAGCCCGCCCGUGGCUGCCCGGGGCUGCCCCACGCACGUGAUUCCUGACAGAAUCAUCAUUUUUGGUAAACAAACCAAGCCCAGAACCUGAUAAGUGUGGACCAUCCUAUGCUGACAGUUCCUUGAAACAAAUUUCCUCUUGGCAUUUACACUGUGGCUUCAACUUUCAAACCAGAGCUUCCUCUUAGCCAGCAAAAAGUGAGUUAUACGCUUUCUUAAUGUUAUAACGUUACCAUGGAUGAUCCCGAACUCGUGGAGGAUAGCAGAGACGGGUGGGCAGAAGAGGAAAGAAUCAGAUCGGAGACUGUAAAAAGUCACGUUAAAAACAUAAUAAUUCUGGCAGAGACGGAAUUCGAAGGUACUUGUGCAAAUCGGAACACUAGACUUGCUUCUUUUUGGGAAGGGAAUGCCGCUUCAUUAGAUCAGGGAAGAAUGCAGGCAGCCCGUGCGUUUAGUCCACAACGUGUGCUUUCCAGACUCGCAGCCUGUCUAUUUGCACUUCGUCAUGGAGUCAUAGAAGGGCAGAGCUGGAGGACCCGGUGAGGGGCCUGGUCCCAUCUCCUUACAGACAGGAAAUCCGAGACCCCCAUACACCAACAGCUGCUGGCUGCAGAGCCAGGACCAAUGCCCAGAAUCUCUGAGCUUUUUAUCUUACACCACAAAGUGACAGGUGCUAGCAGAUGUCACACCUCUGGGCUUAACUGUUUAAGCACGGCCCUGGACUUCCGUAUUCAGCAAGGUUCUAGAGUUUCCAAAACACGGGUCUCCUCUCCCAUCUCAGCUUCCUAGCAUAAAACUAGACACAUCCUCAUGCUUUAGAGGUCUAUUCA
rnacentral:lncRNA from 1 species